AGGAUCAAAUGACAUUUUCUGCCUGAGGGGGAUGUUUCUGCCUAUGACAUAAUGGCCUGUGUCACAAAAGUUCCCCCAAGGUUUCACAGUGUCUGGGGCAACAGCAAGGGAACUCUCUCUCUCCCCUCCCUUCUCUCUGUCCGUCUCCCUUUUUAUCCCUCUUUCUCCUCUUCUUCUUUCUCCUCUCUCUCUCCCGUGUGUGUGGGUGAACUUCACAUUCCAAUUACUAUCGUAAUUACAGGCAAUACACUGGGUAGAAGAACUGAGGAAGGAACACCGUGCUGUGACACAGGGGGACCACAUUAUAACCUCCGUACGGGAGGUGAUGAGGAAGGAGGAAAGGCAUCAGUAGUGGCCAGGAUGCUGUACCAACAGGACACAGGCAGGAAGAACGUUUGAUCCUUAUGAUGAAACAAAACCAAGUGGCACCAUUGUUCUAUUACAGAAGACUCAGGCCAACUUCCUCCAGGAACCAGGGGAAGGGCGGUUCAGAAAGGGGCAGCCCAGGAGAACAGGCGUCCCAGGAGGGGGGCCUGGAAUAGGUGUGGAGACAGGCACCCAGGGUUCACAUCUGGUGAAACACUUCUGGGUGUCCUCUAACAAGUUAUUUCUUCUC